rnacentral:rRNA from 1 species
AACGAACGCUGGCGGCAGGCUUAACACAUGCGAGUCGAGCGCCCCGCAAGGGGAGCGGCAGACGGGUGAGUAAUGCGUGGGAAUCUACCGUGCCCUACGGAAUAGCUCCGGGAAACUGGAAUUAAUACCGUAUACGCCCUUCGGGGAAGAUUUAUCGGGUAUGAUGAGCCCGCGUUGGAUUAGCUAGUUGGUGGGGUAAA